UAACCUGCCUUGUACAGGGGGAUAACAGUUGGAAACGGCUGCUAAUACCGCAUAAGCGCACGGCAUCGCAUGAUGCAGUGUGAAAAACUCCGGUGGUAUAAGAUGGACCCGCGUUGGAUUAGCUAGUUGGUGAGGUAACGGCCCACCAAGGCGACGAUCCAUAGCCGACCUGAGAGGGUGACCGGCCACAUUGGGACUGAGACACGGCCCAAACUCCUACGGGAGGCAGCAGUGGGGAAUAUUGCACAAUGGGCGAAAGCCUGAUGCAGCGACGCCGCGUGAGCGAAGAAGUAUUUCGGUAUGUAAAGCUCUAUCAGCAGGGAAGAUAAUGACGGUACCUGACUAAGAAGCACCGGCUAAAUACGUGCCAGCAGCCGCGGUAAUACGUAUGGUGCAAGCGUUAUCCGGAUUUACUGGGUGUAAAGGGAGCGCAGGCGGUGCGGCAAGUCUGAUGUGAAAGCCCGGGGCUCAACCCCGGUACUGCAUUGGAAACUGUCGUACUAGAGUGUCGGAGGGGUAAGCGGAAUUCCUAGUGUAGCGGUGAAAUGCGUAGAUAUUAGGAGGAACACCAGUGGCGAAGGCGGCUUACUGGACGAUAACUGACGCUGAGGCUCGAAAGCGUGGGGAGCAAACAGGAUUAGAUACCCUGGUAGUCCACGCCGUAAACGAUGGAUACUAGGUGU
rnacentral:rRNA from 1 species